AUCUAUCUUUGGGGAAGGGUGAAAAUCCCUACCGGCGGUGAUAGCCCGCGAACGCAGAUGCGCCGAACAGGUGAGAUUCCUGUGCCGACGGUUACAGUCCGGAUGGGAAAAGAUCAGA
rfam:Clostridium sp. CAG:448 genomic scaffold, scf302